GGGAACAUGAGACAGGGAAUGCAGGUGGCCUCUAGAAGCUGGGAAAGGCACAGAAAUGAAUUUUCCUCUACUCUCCGGAAGAAAUGCAACCUUGCGAUGCUUUGAUUUUAGGACUUUGAUUUCCAGAACUGUAAGGUUGUGAGAUGGAACUUGGGAAAGACAGCGACCACUACAGGGAAGCCCUGUGUCAGAUGCCGGAUGAUCGCUUACCCUGUCAGUCAUCAGCUAUGAAAUUUGACGGAAGACACAGCAGUCGCGACUUCCCCACCUCUGCCCCCAAGAUGGCCAUGUUUGUUUGAAGUGAUGAUACCUACAUGGGCUAGACACAAUUGCAGGGGGAACUUAAGCCGAGGAAUUUAUGUGUCACGGCUCAUUGGUAAAGCACCUGCCCGCAAUGCUGGGCAAACCUGGAUCAAACCUGGGUUUGAUCCCUGGGUCGGGAAGAUCCCCUGGAGAAG
ensembl:lncRNA